AGCCAAUCACAAGGCACACAGAGACGAACAAUCAUCCAUGCUCACACUCACACCUAGGGACAACAUGAUCGCGACCAUGCAAAUUCGCUACGGUGAUGCUCACACUCUUCUUCUACGUCACGGGUUCAAAUACCGCUCUUAACUUUGUAUUUCUAUGUUUCCAAUUUUUUUGUAGCCAGUCGGAAGUUCUAAACGAGAUGUUUUGUUUCACGUGAGGAAUUGAACAGGUGUGCAAUUGAACAAUUUCAACGUAUCUGGUGUCGAAUCUGCAGGAAGGAAACAUAAAAUGACUGGACUCCGGAGCCAGUCAAUUUGGAAGCCAGUUAGUUGAACCAUUCACACCGGUUUUAACGUUUGACUGACGUUAGCAAGCAUGCUAAAUGUUUGCGUUGCUCUAAUUAACGAUUUACUGCUGCCUUUUUUGCUUAAAAACACUCACAUAGUUUGCAUUUUAUUCCUCGCCCCACGAGAUUGUAUUACUAGUUAGCUGUUACUAAAUGCGUAUUGUUGAAAAAGUACACAAAUGACAUUCUGGCAAACUGAAAGCAACAUUUUGAUCGUUUCUUCCUUGUCCCGAAACCAAUUCAUCGGUCGUUUGGUGAUUCAUGAAUGGAGGGAUCCAGGGUGUAGCACACCUCUCACCCAUUCAGUCGACUACCCGGAAAUAUACGGUGUUCUCCGUCAGAACAAGUAACGUAUUCCACAACACUCCAAACCACAGGGUAAUCUGUCAAACGUCCUAGAACUGCUCAAAUC